AUUAUCAGGAAAGCCUCUGAUCAGAGUUAUCUUCUUUAUAUCUUAUGAGGAUUAUGGUUUUCCUUCUCAUUUCUUCAUCCUUAACUGCCAGAUAUGCUAUGAGAUUUCUGUUCCCAACCUUCUAAUAUGAAGCCUUUUGACCAGGACUUAAAAUUAGGGGAAGACAGGCUUUCCCACCAGUCCCAGAAGGAAGAUGGAAAAGAUAUGGACUAGAGCUGUCCCAGUAAAUGGGACCAAGCACCAUUCUAGAAGAGAACUUAGCCAACCUGGAGAUGAAAGAGUGUACCCAUUUGAGAUCCUAUAAGCUCAGAUAGGAUGAGUUAACCCUCUAAUUGUGUGGACUAUAACAAUGUAUUCUGUUU
rnacentral:lncRNA from 1 species